GGAUUAGAUACCCCGGUAGUCUUGGCCAUAAACGAUGUUCACUAGGUGUUGGGGCUUUGCCUCGGUGCCGCAGCUAACGCAUUAAGUGAACCGCCUGGGAACUACGAUCGCAAGAUUAAAACUCAAAGGAAUUGGCGGGGGCCCGCACAAGGCAGUGGAGCAUAUGGCUUAAUUCGAUGCAACGCGAAGAACCUUACCAGGGCUUGACAUGGAUCUGCAAGCUCGUGAAAGCGAGUCGCUUUCGAAGGUGAUUCACAGGUGGUGCAUGGCUGUCGUCAGCUCGUGUUGUGAAAUGUUGGGUUAAUCCCG
rnacentral:rRNA from 1 species